rnacentral:lncRNA from 1 species
UGGCCACGCACGAGCCAAAGAAAUAAGGACACGUGGUAUAUCAUCAAGAGCCAACAAGAAGGCACCUGAAGUUGGAGAGACCUUAGGUGGGAACAGGUGCCUAGAGAUGGAGGGACCUUAGGCGGGAACGGUUGAAAAGUAGGGUAUAACUUACGCGAUCAUGAGUACAGCACUUGUUGGAGGAAAAUUCAAAAUUCCUUAACCAUUAUUAUUACUACUCAAAUUUCUUAAUUACUAUUACUAUUAUUUUAAUUUUUAUUUAUUAAUUCUUUUAUUCUCAUUUAUUAGUAUUCAUUGUUAUUUAUUUUAACUAAUGAGAUGGAUUAAUUAAGUGGAAACGGUUUCCACUAUUGGAAUCCGUUAAGGAUUCCGAUGUUCAACCCAUUCUCUUUUUAUAUAUUGAAUUAUUCCUCUACAUACUGUUCAUGAUAUAUGAAUAUUGUAGAGAAAAGUAAAAGAGAUGAAAUUUUAUUUUGUUUAAUAUUUUUAUCAUCGGGUGUUGAAAGAGUCUCCGUCAACCUCCUUCACGAUCGUGCUCGCAGGACCGGUCGUACCUUGGGGUGUUAUUUCCGGUUAAUCCCGCAUGUAAGGACGGGAAUGCGCCUUAGGGCAGUGUCUCGUACGCUUCCGGAUCAAUUAAGUAUUUAUUUGGAUUUAGCGGUUGGUUUAUUUAUUUUCAUAAUAAAAUUAGUUAGAUCUUUAAUCACAAUCAGAUUUCUGUGCGGUAUUUGUUCUAACAGCACUACCCCACGACUAAAACUAACAAAUAAUGUGGGUUGAUAAUAAAGUAAUAAUAAUCUCAUCUGCAAUAUUAUUCUUACAGAUUUGUUCCUACAAAAAACUAUUUUUUAUUUCUCUCUCUCCUUGCCUUCACUGCGGCACGUGCGGCGUACCUCAUUGUUACCGUGACCGAGUGCCUCGCCUUCGACGUCACCGCCAUUGUAGCUCCCAUCAUCAUCAUAGAUAAAAAGAAGAGGGUGAAAAGAUGACGGAACUUAAUAUUGAAAUACAAAUUAUAUAUAUGGGGUAAAAAGAUUAUUUUACCUUUUAACUAACAGUGGUUAGCUUUUUUAACUUAUAAUUAUCUAAAUUUUGAUAAUAAAAGAAUAUAUUUGCAGAUAGAAGGAUAUUUUGGAGGAAUAACUCUAAUAAUGUAAAUUUUGUAAGAAUAUAUUUGCUAUUUGAUAUUUUUGCAAGGA